rnacentral:rRNA from 1 species
CCUACGGGAGGCAGCAGUGGGGAAUAUUGGACAAUGGGCGAAAGCCUGAUCCAGCAAUGCCGCGUGAGUGAUGAAGGCCUUAGGGUCGUAAAGCUCUUUUACCCGGGAUGAUAAUGACAGUACCGGGAGAAUAAGCCCCGGCUAACUCCGUGCCAGCAGCCGCGGUAAUACGGAGGGGGCUAGCGUUGUUCGGAAUUACUGGGCGUAAAGCGUGCGUAGGCGGUUAUUCAAGUCAGAGGUGAAAGCCCGGGGCUCAACCCCGGAACGGCCUUUGAAACUAGGUAGCUAGAAUCUUGGAGAGGUCAGUGGAAUUCCGAGUGUAGAGGUGAAAUUCGUAGAUAUUCGGAAGAACACCAGUGGCGAAGGCGACUGACUGGACAAGUAUUGACGCUGAGGCACGAAAGCGUGGGGAGCAAACAGGAUUAGAUACCCUGGUAGUCCACGCCGUAAACGAUGAUAACUAGCUGUUCGGGUACUUGGUAUCUGUAGUGGCGCGAGCGUACGACACUUAAGUUAUACCGUCCGUCGGGUAGGUACGGUCGGUCGAGAAGUUAAACGUAACAAGGAAGUAGUACGGACGUGAGACGUGCCGACGGACGACGACGAGGGAGUAGG